UGUCUUGAAACAACUAUGAUAAAUUUUAUUUUAUUCAUGCAUCUUCUGUGUUGAGAAUGACUUAAACUCUGUAUUUCUGUAGAUUUAAAAUUAAUUAGAAAUCAGAUUGUCCGACUAAAAUUAUCCUGUAAUGGAAACUGCACAUUGAAUGAUCAGACGGGCAUACUGAAUGAGAUAAGUAAAAAGCUGAAAAGCAUGGGACUGGAAGGUGAAAGUAAAAUAAGCUGGAGAAAGAGUGAAGGUGGAGAGGUGUUUCAUCAGGAGAGCAACCGUACAGCCAAUUUAAAUAAUAAAUGUGGUAGACGGUAAUCUACUGUAUGUACCCUUUUAAACAUCUUAAAGUGUAUUAAAGAUGCUUCAGAAUUUUCUGCAUAUUUUAGAAACAAUACAUCCUGUAAAUAGAGCAGAAGUAGGAUGCAUGGAAUUGCACAAAUAUAUUUUAAGAAUGCUUGCUUAGGAUAUAAAUUGAAUGUGCGAGACUUCCGGUUCAUUAACAUACCACUACACAUUAGAUAGAUAGAUAGAUAGAUAGAUAGAUAGAUAGAUAGAUAGAUAGAUAGAUAGAUAGAUAGAUAGAUAGAUAGAUAGAUAGUAGGGCUGUACGAUUAUGACAUAAAUCUUAAUUGUCGAUUAUUCCCUUGAAAUUGUAAUUGCGAUUAUUAAUUACGAUUAUCACAAUUUACAUUGAAUGAUGUUUAUACUAGAGAUUGCACCGAAGUGGAACAGAUUGCCUACUAUCUUACUCAAAGAAAGUACUCUUUACUAUUCUUACUCACAUGCUGUAUUGCUAAUAAACAUGACAUAAUUUCAGUUCUGUUGCUUUUAUAUGAAAAUAAAUAUGGUGAACAAGA